AGAGCGAACGCUGGCGGCAGGCCUAACACAUGCAAGUCGAACGGACCCUUCGGGGUUAGUGGCGGACGGGUGAGUAACACGUGGGAACGUGCCUUUUGGUUCGGAAUAGCUCCUGGAAACGGGCGGUAAUGCCGAAUGUGCCCUUCGGGGGAAAGAUUUAUCGCCAUUAGAGCGGCCCGCGUCUGAUUAGCUAGUUGGUAAGGUAAUGGCUUACCAAGGCGACGAUCAGUAGCUGGUCUGAGAGGAUGACCAGCCACAUUGGGACUGAGACACGGCCCAAACUCCC
rnacentral:rRNA from 1 species